GAAACGAUAGAUAAAGCUUGCUUUUUCUAGGCGUCGACCGGCGCACGGGUGAGUAACGCGUAUCCAACCUGCCCAUCACUUGGGGAUAACCUUGCGAAAGUAAGACUAAUACCCAAUGAUAUCUCUAGAAGACAUCUGAAAGGGAUUAAAGAUUUAUCGGUGAUGGAUGGGGAUGCGUCUGAUUAGCUUGUUGGCGGGGUAACGGCCCACCAAGGCGACGAUCAGUAGGGGUUCUGAGAGGAAGGUCCCCCACAUUGGAACUGAGACACGGUCCAAACUCCUACGGGAGGCAGCAGUGAGGAAUAUUGGUCAAUGGGCGAGAGCCUGAACCAGCCAAGUAGCGUGCAGGAUGACGGCCCUAUGGGUUGUAAACUGCUUUUAUAGGGGAAUAAAGUGAGCCUCGUGAGGCUUUUUGCAUGUACCUUAUGAAUAAGGACCGGCUAAUUCCGUGCCAGCAGCCGCGGUAAUACGGAAGGUCCGGGCGUUAUCCGGAUUUAUUGGGUUUAAAGGGAGCGUAGGCCGGAGAUUAAGCGUGUUGUGAAAUGUAGAUGCUCAACAUCUGCACUGCAGCGCGAACUGGUUUCCUUGAGUACGCACAAAGUGGGCGGAAUUCGUGGUGUAGCGGUGAAAUGCUUAGAUAUCACGAAGAACUCCGAUUGCGAAGGCAGCUCACUGGAGCGCAACUGACGCUGAAGCUCGAAAGUGCGGGUAUCGAACAGGAUUAGAUACCCUGGUAGUCCGCACGGUAAACGAUGGAUGCCCGCUGUUGGUCUGAAUAGGUCAGCGGCCAAGCGAAAGCAUUAAGCAUCCCACCU
rnacentral:rRNA from 1 species